UACAGAGGGUGCGAGCGUUGUUCGGAAUUAUUGGGCGUAAAGGGCGCGUAGGCGGCGCCACAAGUCACUUGUGAAAACUCUGGGCUCAACUCAGAGCCUGCAAGCGAAACUGUGGUGCUGGAGUAUGGGAGAGGUGCGUGGAAUUCUCGGUGUAGCGGUGAAAUGCGUAGAUAUCGGGAGGAACACCUGUGGCGAAAGCGGCGCACUGGACCAUAACUGACGCUGAGGCGCGAAAGCUAGGGGAGCAAACAGG
rnacentral:rRNA from 1 species